UGUCAGUACCAUAUCACCCUGCAGCUCUGACCUGGUUUCCCACUGACGUUAAGCAGUGUUGAGUCGGUUCAGUACCAAGAUGGAAGACCUCCUGUGGAAAACUAAGUCUGCUGUUGG
rnacentral:rRNA from 1 species